rnacentral:lncRNA from 1 species
GACAUAAUAUUACAACCUAAAACUAGUCUACUAAAGUGUGUGCCAAUACUUGGUGUCACAAGUAUGGGCAUCUAGUAGAAUAUACAAAAUAUCUCCAUCCUACUGUCUGAAAUAAAGAAAGAUAGCAAAAAUACAAAGAAGACUCCAUCUGGCGGCUGAGCAGCGUAGGAAGGGAAACAAAUCACCAUAAAAGUCUCUGCCGCAGCUCACUGGCACGCGCCCGAUCGAUAACCAGAUGAAUCUGCCUCAGAACAUGUACAUUUAAGUACAGAAGAGUAGCAUGAGUACAUAAAUAGUAUAUACCCGAUGAGUAUCCCGCCUAAUCUCAAAGAGGUAGAGACGAGAGGUCGGCUUGAUACCCACUAGAUCAAGAUAAUAUUAUAAUAAUGAUGUAUAAUUUAGAGUGUCACAUCUUCUUUUUCACUACACCCGCAUGGGCAUAAAUGAGUCUUUCCAAUUAAAGGACAACCAGAACGAGAUUUAGUUAUUAAUUAUUCAGAACUGUCACUUGAGAGAUUAAUGGUGUCUCAAGUCACCGGUUUUAAUCUCGAACCGUGAAAAAAUAUGACUCUGUAAUACAGUCCGUGAACUACAAUUCGGAUAAGGAAUUUUGUUAACCGAGAGAAGAUGUUAGACAUUUCCGGGUUCUAUGGUUCUAGCACGGUUGCUUAACUAUUGUAUUUGAUUUUAUCUGAUUUUAAUACAUGCUAGCUUGUGUGCCUUUUACUAGUGAAUCGCUUUUUAUCUUUGUUUAUUAUAAAAGAAUUGCGACGUCGCAAGAACGCGUUUCGAACCACGUCGCAAUCAAUGCACCCGUGGUUGUCAACACAUUUCGACUUCGUCGAGAUUUGGAUUUGGGUCACAUCAAAGCGCACCCGAAUUUAGGAAGAUAGAUCAUUAAAAACGUGCCUAAAGAUUUUAACGUAUUAUUAUUUUGGGGAAGGUCGUAAAAUUCUCUAAACGGCCUCCCAAAUUCUAAUUAUUUUAUGUAACCAUUAUUGAGGGUCUUGCCAAUUGUAUUUCGUUUGGCGAGGCUCGUCCCAUCAUUUUAUUAAAAGGGCCACCUAAAAGUGACUACAAUUUUUUUUUUUUGUUUUUAUACAAAGUAAUAAGAGAAGGUUCAUAAUUAAUAAGCCCAAAGAGCCCAAUUCUCAAUGAAGACGUAGGGAUGGUGGCCUCAACAGACACAAACAAUGGCCCUGACAUUGGCCCAAAAAGUGAUCCUGGCACUGGACCAUAUUGAAAUGUUCAGGGGAUCGAGUCCCCACACCUGAUGUGCCAUGUUUGAACUUUGCACAUAAUAUCCGAAGUCAUAUGGACAUAUUCAGUAGGUAAUAACAAAUGAAACACUGUAUUAUUUAAGAUCCAAGCUAAUUCAGUUAUCUAAUUACAAAUUAUCUUACAUCAAUGAACUGAUGAUUCGAAUGACUCACUAGUAUCAAUUCCUUGAAUUACCAGAAUCUAUCAUAAAGCAUGAAACUUACUAAUUGCAUAUUGCAUUUAUUUGGGGCACAUGAACUCACUGACUUCAAAUUAAUAGCAGGCUUAAUUUAGCCAUGGUUUCAAACUUUAAACAAAAAUAGACUAGUAGAAAUCCAAAAGAACACUGAGUAGCUUUGAAAUUAAGUAGAAACACCACUGAAUCUCUCUAUGAUGUGAUUUUAAAUCAAAAACUCAAAAUGAACUGAAAAUGCAAUGGAACAAUAAAUUUUCUUCUGAUUUUUUUUUCCAGGUUUUCCUACUGUUUUGUUUUGUUUUUUUGGAAUUCCAAAGCUAAUUCUGAUUAAAAAACUAUAAUCGAAAGAGUAUUUUUGGGAGCUAAUAAUGGCUGAAAAAGAAUCCCCUUUCCCAAGGCAAAUGUCUCACUAUUUAUAGGCAAACCUCAGGAUGGUAAAUCAGAUUUUGGCUUUUAUUUCUAGUCCCUCAUUAUUUUCAGUUUGGUCCCUCUAUUUUGACUUGUUCAACAAGUAAAUAUCUCUAUUGUACUAACAUCUACACUAAAGUACCCUUCUAGAAGGCCCUAGGAUGCUCUUCUACCUCUUCCCCCCCCCCCCCCCCCCCCNNNNNNNNNNNNNNNNNNNNNNNNNNNNNNNNNNNNNNNNNNNNNNNNNNNNNNNNNNNNNNNNNNNNNNNNNNNNNNNNNNNNNNNNNNNNNNNNNNNNNNNNNNNNNNNNNNNNNNNNNNNNNNNNNNNNNNNNNAAGUACCUAUACUACCCUUACCCCUACUUUGAAAUUACUAUUCCUAAAUAAACUACCAUUUUCUAUGCCUAAAAUGCCUUCUAAUAGUCUGAAAUUUACAAACUAAGGUUAAUUGAUCCCAAUCCCCUCACCCUAACUAGAAUUUAACUAAAGUUAAUUAACAAAUGAUCUACUCAGCUAUAUCCCAACCAAAUCCUAAUUACUGUAAUACAACAUCUACUACACUAAACCACCAAUUAAGCUAAUUAAAUCCUAUAAUUGAUUUACCUAAUUAAUCACAGAAUUAAAAUAACAAGAAGACCAAGCAGAAGCAAUUUUCGAACAAAAAUUUGACAAAAAAUAACCAUUUCACUAAUCAUUAGUAUAAUUGCUUAGGUGUUAACUCAAUUUUGAUUAGUGAAAUGGUUAUUUUUUGUCAAAUUUUUGUUCGAAAAUUGCUUCUGCUUGGUCUUCUUGUUAUUUUAAAAUUGAGUUAACACCUAAGCAAUUAUACUAAUGAUUAGUGAAAUGGUUAUUUUUUGUCAAAUUUUUGUUCGAAAAUUGCUUCUGCUUGGUCUUCUUGUUAUUUUAAUUCUGUGAUUAAUUAGGUAAAUCAAUUAUAGGAUUUAAUUAGCUUAAUUGGUGGUUUAGUGUAGUAGAUGUUGUAUUACAGUAAUUAGGAUUUGGUUGGGAUAUAGCUGAGAUUGACUAACUAAUCUAAACAAAAACAAAAACAAAAACAGGCUAAACAAACAAAGAAUGAAAAUUAAAACUAAGAACUAAUAGAAGCAUGUGUCACUAAACAUCUAGUCGGCAAAAUUAUAUCAAAAGUAAAUUACUAAUUAAACAUUCAAAAAUUAGAACCAUGCUUAACAUGACAAACUAAAUCGAAUACUAAAAAAAAUGAAAGAAUGACAUACUGAUAAAUCUGAACUUGAAUGAUUACUGGAACAAAUUUUAAUUAAUACUAUGGUAUUAUCUUUGUCAAGAUUAACUCAUAAUAUUCAUCAAAAUCAUCCGAGAAUAAAGCUCUUAAAUGGCAGAAAACUUUGAAGCACUAGAUUGGAAAUUGGAAAUGGCCUGUUGAGCUUUGAAGUGAAAUACCCACAGACUCAAGAUGAGGAAGGUCAAGAGACUAUCCGGUAUCGAUUUGGGUGGGAAAGACAGGCAGCGCGGCUACUAGAAUUCAAGGGUGGCGGCUAGGGUUCUUCGACUUUGAAUCAAGAUUCGAAGCCUUUGAGGUUGAUAUGGAAGAAAAGAGAUGUGGAUUUGGCAUGAGAAGGCUGAGAUGGUGCUAGGGUGUGAUUUUGGCGGCCAUUGGCAUAACUCACGACUUGGCCGGAAUAUUUAAAAUGAAGAUUCAAGCCAUUGGGGGCUGAUUCGGGGGAAACCGGGUGCAUGGUUAGACAGAGAAGAUCGAGGAGGGUCACGUGUGUAUUUUGGGUGGUCAUUAGCAUAGUUAUCGUUUUCGCCACCGGUGAUUGUUAUCGGAGAAAAAUAAGGCGGCUGAUGAAUUAGGGUUUGUGUUAGAGACAGAGGAGGGGGUUUAGGGGGGGAGGGUUGUGUUUCGGACAGUUUUACAUUAAAGGAUGGGGUUUCCUGGCCAUUUGAUCGAGUUACCUCGACGGCUGAGAUUGCUCGUCACAAAAACGGUGUUGUUAGGCGUGAGUUCUGAGCCGAGUUGGGUCGAGGUGUUGGGCUUGGGCGUGGGCAAUCAAUCUUGGGCCGAUGAAUUGUGACCUUGUCAGCCCAAAUAUGGGUCUUUAUUGAGACCACCUUUUUUAAUUUGUUUUUCUCUUUUUAUUUCUUUUUUUCUAAUUUUUCCCUUUUUUUUUGUUUUUUCAUUUGUAUU